rnacentral:rRNA from 1 species
UACGUAGGGUCCGAGCGUUGUCCGGAUUUAUUGGGCGUAAAGAGCUCGUAGGCGGUCUGUCGCGUCGAUCGUGAAAACUUGGGGCUUAACCCUGAGCUUGCGGUCGAUACGGGCAUGACUGGAGUUCGGCAGGGGAGACUGGAAUUCCUGGUGUAGCGGUGAAAUGCGCAGAUAUCAGGAGGAACACCGGUGGCGAAGGCGGGUCUCUGGGCCGAUACUGACGCUGAGGAGCGAAAGCGUGGGGAGCGAACAGG